rnacentral:rRNA from 1 species
AUUGAACGCUGGCGGCAGGCCUAACACAUGCAAGUCGAGCGGAUGAAGGGAGCUUGCUCCUGGAUUCAGCGGCGGACGGGUGAGUAAUGCCUAGGAAUCUGCCUGGUCUUGGGGGAUAACGUCCGGAAACGGGCGCUAAUACCGCAUCCGUCCUGAGGGAGAAAGUGGGGGAUCUUCGGACCUCACGCUACCAGAUGAGCCUAGGUCGGAUUAGCUAGUUGGUGGGGUAAAGGCCUACCAAGGCGACGAACCGUAACUGGUCUGAGAGGAUGAUCAGUCACACUGGAACUGAGACACGGUCCAGACUCCUACGGGAGGCAGCAGUGGGGAAUAUUGGGCAAUGGGCGAAAGCCUGAUCCAGCAAUGCCGCGUGUGUGAAGAAGGUCUUCGGAUUGUAAAGCACUUUAAGUUGGGAGGAAGGGAAGUAAGUUAAUCCCUUGCUGUUUUGACGGUACCAACAGAAUAAGCACCGGCUAACUUCGUG